rnacentral:lncRNA from 1 species
GGCACGGGGGCACCUUUGAAACGGAAUAGGUCCAGAUUGUUUAGUAAGCACUCGCAUUAAUCAACGACAGGCCGUUUCUCGCUAGGCGCGUUGCUGCUGUGAAGCACGUGCCACAGACCCCGUGUCGCGCCCGGUGAUUCGCGAGACUCGGCUGUCGCUGGCUCAGCACCAAAGGCUCGGGGGAAAACACCCCGCUCGGCGCAUCCCGCUUCUUUGUCCACCUGUUUUGUGUCCCCUUAGGGUUCUUUCGCUCACUUAUACAGUCUUCCUUCACUUCGGGGAGAGAGAACAGGGGGGAGCAGUGUUUUUCCCUUCAGCUUCCUGUGAAACCGCCACAGUUAGCCAGAGCGACCACCGUUAGCACACUUGUCUUCGUUCUGGAGGUGUGGUGCCGGCUCAGAAAGCCAAUUGCCCCACAAGAUAACUAUCCAGAAAGGGGAGUCGAUGCCUCCCAGUGUUUCCUAUACCUUUCUCGUAUCUCAGGAGCCUCUCUUUGGUGCGAGUCCGUUCCCGUCCCUGAGAGAGGGGCAUUGCGCUGGUUGCGUAGCCGUGGUUCGGCGAAUUUCGGGCCGACUGGAAGGGGAAAACGCGGCACAGCCUCGAAACGCCAUCGAUUGUUGUUUGCCUCGACUAAAACCCUCUGGUGUAGGUGAGUCUCGGGCCACGUUUCGUGUCCAGUGGUCUUUUUUGGGGUACGUGGUCAAGGAUUCCGCCAGCUCCGGUUUCACUGGCACUCGUCCUCCUGCAGUGUGGAAUGCCCAGUGAGUCUUCACUGCUCGAGCUUGUCAGACUCGAGGGACGUGUCGUGGAUGGAGGAAUACAAUGCUUCAGUUCAAAUCUUUUUCCGGAAACUUGGCGACUUCGACCCGCGUAGCCAGACCCAAGCAUCGUCACUCGUUGCUAGCACAUGUGUCAAACUCGAAACCUUAAGGGAACGCCGAUGCAGGUCAUCGGAGGUCUCUCGGCAGUGCCUCUGGCCAGAAUGAGUUCAAGAGUACGACGGCAGAAGAUGUGUGCCUUGCUGUCGAUACGUGGCGUCAACCUGUGUCAUGUUGGAGGGGGGAAGCGCCGCCCCUCGACUCCUGUGGUUGUUGCUUGUCCGGCAACUCUAAAGGAUAAGCGUUUUUGGACAAUCAUGAGCAACAGUUUCCUUUUGGUUUCGCGUACGAUGGAUGGACUCGUAACAAACAAUCUAUGAUAACGGUCCACUCCCCGGACGUUGUGACAGACAAGCGUUGAAAAAGCACGGACCAGCACGUGUCGAGUGGCCUAAUAUGGAUCCACAGGAAACAUUUUGAAGCAAACAGUUGAGCAUGGUUCGGAGUGAACUAAUAUCUGUACAAAAGUCGUACCGAUUUACCAACGUCUCAGCUUGAUCCGUGAAUUUUUUAAAGACGUGGUGCACCCGCUUGAUAGGAAAUGUUUGGUUACUCGGGCAGGCACUGGAAAUGUGUGCCCGGGCAUUGUUCCGUGUGGAAAUACACUUCCGCACCCGACCUCCCGACAUUAGUCCUCUGUGUUGGGCCUGUAGCCGCAUCCCAUGGGCAUAAAAGAUGGAACAGGUGACAAGCCUCACUGCGGGCAACCUUGCUUGACUCUUUCGUGUGGCGCGCAUCAUCAGUGUGUGCCCAACAUCCAUACAGAUCGGCGCUUGGCGGCCUGACACGGUGUAAGCAUUGAGAGAUUGUCAGUGUUUACGCUGUCAUGCUCUGAGCCAACAUGUUUGAAAGUCAUCUGACUGAACAAAACCCAUUUUUAUGAGGUACUGUUUCGUAAGGCUGUACAAAAUGGUUGCUCCUGGAGCUCCAAACCGGCAGCUGUGAAGUGCCCCCCCCCCCCCCCCCCCCGCAUAUGUGUGCGUGAUCUCCGUGGCUGGCAGCGUUCAGGGCAAACAUCCGCAACCGCCCCAAAUUCACAUUAUGCUAUUCGUCUCCUAUGACUGGUCGCCGUUCCUUCUCUGCGUGGACGCAUGCGUGCCAACAGGCCCG